rnacentral:rRNA from 1 species
UUGGAGGGCAAGUCUGGUGCCAGCAGCCGCGGUAAUUCCAGCUCCAAUAGCGUAUAUUAAAGUUGUUGCAGUUAAAAAGCUCGUAGUUGAAUUUCGAGACCGGUUUAUUGGUCGUGCUUUUGUACGUACUGGUAUAAUCGGUUUCUCUCUUCUGACGAACUAUAAUGCCAUUAAUUUGGUGUUAUGGGAAAUCAGGACUGUUACUUUGAAAAAAUUAGAGUGUUUAAAGCAGGCUCACGCUUGAAUACAUUAGCAUGGAAUAACGGAAUAGGACGUUUGAUUCUAUUUUGUUGGUUUCUAGGAUCGACGUAAUGAUUAAUAGGGAUAGUUGGGGGCAUUAGUAUUCAAUUGUCAGAGGUGAAAUUCUUGGAUUUAUUGAAGACUAACUACUGCGAAAGCAUUUGCCAAGGAUGUUUUCAUUAAUCAAGAACGAAAGUUAGGGGAUCGAAGACGAUCAGAUACCGUCGUAGUCUUAACCAUAAACUAUGCCGACUAGGGAUCGGAUGAUGUUAAUUUUUUAAUGACUCAUUCGGCGCCUUACGGGAAAC